AAGAAACGAGGUCCUCUUCCCUCUUUGUGCGACGGCGACUAUGUUGUUUCCUCUUUCUCUUACCUUCUGAAACGGUUUGAGUAAAGAUUUCGUGUUUAAUCUCAUUGAUUCCCCAUCUUCAAUGCUCUUUUUCGAUCUCAAAGGUUUUCUUCUCCAAUCUGAAGUCCGGCAACUGCUCCUCCGUUGUCGAGGCUAAGCUUCUGCGGUUUUGGGAGGCUAGGCUUCUGCUUUUUUGGGUCGAUAUGCUUCGUGUCUCUUUUGUUUCGUCAUGAAAAGCAAGAGUUUCAAGGAGUGUCCUCAUCCAGAUGAUAAGCAGAGAACCAACUUAGCAGAGAAUAGGGUUUGGCUCCAAGACAAAUAAAGUUCUGGUUCCAGAACAGAAGAACUCAGCUUAAGGCGCAACAUGAGAGACCAUAUAACAAUGCACUAAAGGCAGAGAAGGACAAGUCGAUGUGAGAACAUAGCCAUUAGAGAAGCACUCAAGCAUGCUAUAUUCAAAGCACACAAGCAUGCAAGGACCCAAAUCACUCAAGAGAAAGGAAGGAGCGUUAAGCAGAUCAGAGCAGUGAGCAAGCAACGAAACACUAGAGACAGAGGAACAUCAUCAUCUCCACCUGCAAGAUCGCAGGUGUAAAGACACCAGUGAGAAAUUCUACUUCAGUGAGAGGGUCAACUUCGGGAAGAGCAUCAUCUCCUCCAGAAAAAAUCCACAAAGCCCAAGAGAAACAUAUUAAAGACGGUUGGAUCCAGAUCGAUAGCUGCAAGGGGGAAGAAAGGUUCAGAAAGAACAGGGGAAGGUCCAAGAGAAGAUGAGGAAUCUGACAUGAAUGGGACUAUGAAACCAAAAGUUGUGUCCAGACGCUAGGAGGGCUCACGCACAAUGUAUCUGCAGUAUGUUUCCAGCCGGAGCUUCCAAUAAUACCCACAGGUUUUGAGGAUGGCACUGUUCGCAUUUGGCACCCUAUGACGUAAGAGUGUUACGUACGAGUGUUUUAUUUAAAACUUUUAUUCUGUCAAUAAACAUAGCAGUGUUGUUGUUUUUUUGGUAUUUAACUUAACUACGCCUUGAAUACAUGAGACUCUUUCUUAUAUUCAUUAUCACAGUUGGUUUGUUUUCUC